CAAAGUUUUGGUCCUAAACUUGCCAUUGUUUUUAACCAAAAUUACACAUGCGAGCCUCCACCAACCAGUGAGAAUGCCCACAACCCCCAAACAGAAAGCCGGAGCAGGUAUCAGGUUCACCACACUAGCCAACAACACCUUGCUAUGCCACACCCACACGGGCCCUCAGCAGUGAUUAACAUUAAACCAUAAGCGCAAGCUUGAUUUGGCCAUGGUUAAUUAAAGUCGGUAAAUUUCGUGCCAGCCACCGCGGUUAUACGAAAGACUUAAAACAAUGCCCUGCGGCGUAAAGCGUGGCCAAAGACCUACCACACACCUAAAGAAAAACCACCACCAAGCCGUAAAACGCCCCCACGAAUGAGAACAACACAGAUCUUUAGACCAAAGGCUGCUUGACCCACGAAAGCUAAGAAACAAACUGGGAUUAGAUACCCCACUAUGCUUAGCGCUAAACAUAGACAAUACAAACACAACAUUGUCCGCCAGAGAACUACAAGCGAAAAACUCAAAACUCCAAGGACUUGGCGGUGCUCCACACCAACCUAGAGGAGCCUGUCCUAUAAUCGAUACCCCACGUUGAACCUUACCACCUUUUGCCCCCCCAGCCUAUAUACCGCCGUCGUCAGCCUACCUUGUGAAAGAAAAACAGUAGGCAAAACAGUUAACAACGAACACGACAGGUCAAGGUGUAGCACAUAAGAUGGAAGAGAUGGGCUACAUUUUCUGCCACAGAACACACGGAUGACACAAUGAAACACAGACCUAAAGGUGGAUUUAGUAGUAAGGUGAAUAAGUAACACCACCUUAAACCCGCUCUGGAGCGCGCACACACCGCCC
rnacentral:ncRNA from 1 species